ensembl:snoRNA SNORA70 Small nucleolar RNA SNORA70
CUGCCGCCACUUAACCGACCGUGCCCUUUGCCUCGUGGGGCCCGGGUGCAGUGGCUGCAAACAGCAAGCAGCCUCCUUGGUAGUGGAGCGGCCUAUGGCGCAUAUGCACUGCCCAAAGCAAGACAAUCCUUGGAGACAGUC